UACGAAGGGUGCAAGCGUUAAUCGGAAUUACUGGGCGUAAAGGGUGCGUAGGCGGUUGUUUAAGUCUGUUGUGAAAUCCCCGGGCUCAACCUGGGAAUGGCAAUGGAUACUGGCGGGCUAGAGUGUGUCAGAGGAUGGUGGAAUUCCCGGUGUAGCGGUGAAAUGCGUAGAGAUCGGGAGGAACAUCAGUGGCGAAGGCGGCCAUCUGGGACAACACUGACGCUGAAGCACGAAAGCGUGGGGAGCAAACAGG
rnacentral:rRNA from 1 species